AGCAGUCGCCGCGGGAAUACGAAGGGUGCAAGCGUUAAUCGGAAUUACUGGGCGUAAAGCGUGCGUAGGCGGUUUGUUAAGUCUGUUGUGAAAUCCCCGGGCUCAACCUGGGAAUGGCAAUGGAUACUGGCGAGCUAGAGUGUGUCAGAGGAUGGUGGAAUUCCCGGUGUAGCGGUGAAAUGCGUAGAGAUCGGGAGGAACAUCAGUGGCGAAGGCGGCCAUCUGGGACAACACUGACGCUGAGGCACGAAAGCGUGGGGAGCAAACAGGAUUAGAUACCCCAGUAGUCCCUGUCUCUUAUAC
rnacentral:rRNA from 1 species